GGAGGGUCAUUGGAAACUGGGGGACUUGAGUACAGAAGAGGAAAGCGGAAUUNCAAGUGUAGCGGUGAAAUGCGUAGAGAUUNGGAGGAACACCAGUGGCGAAGGCGGCUUUNUGGUCUGUAACUGACGNUGAGGCGCGAAAGCGUGGGGAGCAAACAGGAUUAGAUACCCUGGUAGUNCACGCCGUAAACGAUGAGUGCUAAGUGUUAGGGGGUUUNCGCCCCUUAGUGCUGCAGCUAACGCNUUAAGCACUNCGCCUGGGGANUNCGGCCGCAAGGCUGAAACUCAAAGGAAUUGACGGGGGCCCGCACNAGCGGUGGAGCAUGUGGUUUAAUUNGAAGCAACGNGAAGAACCUUACCAGGUCUUGACAUCCCACUGACCGGCUUAGAGAUAAGUUUUUCCCUUNGGGGACAGUGGUGACAGGUGGUGCAUGGUUGUNGUCAGCUCGUGUCNUGAGAUGUUGGGUUAAGUCCCGCAACGAGCGCAACCCUUGAUNUUAGUUGCCAGCAUUUAGUUGGGCACUNUAAGGUGACUGCCGGUGAUAAACCGGAGGAAGGUGGGGAUGACGUCAAAUCAUCNUGCCCCUUAUGACCUGGGNUACACACGUGNUACAAUGGACGAUACAAAGGGCUGCAAACCCGCGAGGGGGAGCCNAUCCCAUAAAAUCGUUNUCAGUUNGGAUUGUAGGCUGCAACUNGCCUACNUGAAGCCGGAAUCGCUNGUAAUCGNGGAUCAGCNUGCCGCGGUGAAUACGUUCCCGGGCCUUNUACACACCGCCCGUC
rnacentral:rRNA from 1 species